UACGUAGGGGACAAGCGUUGUCCGGAUUUACUGGGCGUAAAGAGCGCGCAGGCGGUCGUUCAAGUCGAGUGUGAAAGCCCCCGGCUCAACUGGGGAGGGUCAUUCGAUACUGAUCGACUCGAAGGCAGGAGAGGGAAGUGGAAUUCCCGGUGUAGUGGUGAAAUGCGUAGAUAUCGGGAGGAACACCAGUGGCGAAGGCGGGUCUCUGGGCCGAUACUGACGCUGAGGAGCGAAAGCGUGGGGAGCGAACAGG
rnacentral:rRNA from 1 species